UGAAGCAGUCUGCCCAUCAUGGCCUGCUAA
rnacentral:piRNA from 1 species